rnacentral:rRNA from 1 species
UCCUACGGGAGGCAGCAGUCGGGAAUUUUCGCCAAUGGAGGAAAUUCUGACCAAGCAACGCAGCGUGAAGAGGAAGUACUUCGGAAUGUAAAGGUCUUUAUCAAGAAGAAUGGCAGUGGAAAAAGUGAAUGACGUACAUGAGAGAGACGUCCG